GAUGAAGAACGUAGCGAAUUGCGAUAAGUAAUGUGAAUUGCAGAUUUUCAGUGAAUCAUCGAAUCUUUGAACGCACCUUGCGCCCUUUGGCCAUUCCGAAGGGCAUGCCCGUUUGAGUAUCAUGAACACCUCAACUCUUUAUGGUUUUCCAUGAUGAGCUUGGACUCUGGGGGUUUUGCUGGCUCACAGUCGGCUCCUCUAAAAUGAAUCAGCUUACCAGUGUUUGGUGGGUAUCAUGGGUGUGAUAACUAUCUACGCUUGUGGUUUUUCCACCAGGUAACCUUCAGCAGUGGAGGUUCGCUGGAGCUCAUAGAUGUCUCUCCUCAGUGAGGACAGCCCUUUGAAUGUUUGAUCUCAAAUCAGGUAGGACUACCCGCUGAACUUAAGCAUAUCAAUAAGCGGAGA
rnacentral:misc_RNA from 1 species